rnacentral:rRNA from 1 species
AUAAUAUCAUAGAAGGCAUCUUUUAUGGUUGAAAAUUCCGAUGGUUAGAGAUGGGCAUGCGUUGUAUUAGCUAGUUGGUGGGGUAACGGCUCACCAAGGCGACGAUACAUAGGGGGACUGAGAGGUUAACCCCCCACACUGGUACUGAGACACGGACCAGACUCCUACGGGAGGCAGCAGUGAGGAAUAUUGGUCAAUGGACGCAAGUCUGAACCAGCCAUGCCGCGUGCAGGAUGACGGCUCUAUGAGUUGUAAACUGCUUUUGUACGAGGGUAAACGCAGAUACGUGUAUCUGUCUGAAAGUAUCGUACGAAUAAGGAUCGGCUAACUCCGUGCCAGCAGCCGCGGUAAUACGGAGGAUUCAAGCGUUAUCCGGAUUUAUUGGGUUUAAAGGGUGCGUAGGCGGUUUGAUAAGUUAGAGGUGAAAUUUCGGGGCUCAACCCUGAACGUGCCUCUAAUACUGUUGAGCUAGAGAGUAGUUGCGGUAGGCGGAAUGUAUGGUGUAGCGGUGAAAUGCUUAGAGAUCAUACAGAACACCGAUUGCGAAGGCAGCUUACCAAACUAUAUCUGACGUUGAGGCACGAAAGCGUGGGGAGCAAACAGGAUUAGAUACCCUGGUAGUCCACGCAGUAAACGAUGAUAACUCGUUGUCGGCGAUACACAGUCGGUGACUAAGCGAAAGCGAUAAGUUAUCCACCUGGG